GUUAGGUUUAGGGAUUGUGUUAGGUUUAGGGGCUGGGUUAGGUUUAGGGAUUGUGUUAGGGUUAGGGGAUGUGUUAGGUUUAGGGGCUGUGUUAGGUUUAGGGGCUGUGUUAGGUUUAGGGGCUGUUUUAGGGUUAGGGGUUGUGUUAGGUUUAGGGGUUGUGUUAGGGUUGGGGAUUGUGUUUGGUUUAGGGGUUGUGUUAGGUUUAUGGAUUGUGUUAGGGUUAGGGGAUGUGUUAGGUUUAGGGAUUGUGUUAG